rnacentral:misc_RNA from 1 species
UACCCCUCUCAACCCCGUUUGUUUUUCGGAACGAAUAGUCUUAGGGUUGGAUCGUGACCCCUGUGUUGGGGCUUUGCUUGAGACAUGGCGAGGCUACUCCAACUGGGUUGAAUAGCAACAAGCUGAAUCCAACUCAGCGGCUUGACCUGUUGUCGUAACUUUAAACUCAAUAGGGACGCUGAUAGUAGAACGAGCUUACCACAAAUUUGUUUAUCAC